GAGCUUGAUCCAAAUAUUAAUUUACUUACCGAGCAUUUUAUUCAGAUUCCAAUAAAAUCCAAUGCAAUUACAAUUACGAGACUAAAACUAAAUUAAUAAUGCUAGGAAAUCAUUAAGCUGAAGAAAAAGCAACCUUUGUGGGUGACAAAAAUGACUAAUUACUUAUUUUUAAUUAAUGUAAAGAAAAUGAAGAUCACAGAUACGUACAAAUUGUCAACAAAUUACAGAUCACUCUACAGCAAGAGUGGGGAUAGAGAGAAUUAGAAUUAUUACUUCCAUUAUUGUCAUGGUUUCUGGUUUCUGUGCUGUGCUCCUCUUCCUCAAGCUCAGUGUGAAAUAAAACUAAGGCGUUUUUCUUCGAUCCUUGUUCCUUUUACUUUCUUCUUCUUGAAAUAUCAAGCUGCAAGACGCAUCCUCUCUUUCUCCUCAGCUGCAAAAUACCAGAUCUGCCAAUCUGCCACAUU
rnacentral:misc_RNA from 1 species